GUUUCCUGGUGAUAAAUGAUAUAAAUUGAAACAAUACAAAGAAGAUGAACACCACCCCUACACUAGGAUGAUACAUACAAAUAGGGAAAUUCUUAUAUAUCA
rnacentral:snRNA from 1 species